CCCAUGCCCACAUACACACACACACACCUCAGAUGUGUAGGACACUGUGUAUAGGCCUACAAGACAUUCCCCGGAAAAUGUGUCUUCUAGUUUAAACAAAACUCUCGAUUCUUUUAAGCAGCAUUUUACAUCCUAAAGGGUUAGGUUUAGAAGGCAUGUAAUACGCGCGUUUCUUAUAAAACACCGUCUUUAAAACGUUUACCUCCUAAAGGGACCUAUUUAGAAGAUGUGUUGUUAUCUCUAGCAUCCCUGCUGGUGCCUCUGCAAAUUACACCUGCAACAUGAGGGGUCGUCAUGUGAACAUCAUCAUUCCCAAUGUUAUCCAGGCUCUCACGCUCUGUGAAGUGGAAGUCUAUGGGGUUCCAGUGCCUGUUACUAAGAGGGCAUUUCUGAGAUUGAAGUUUAACAUCAACGAUAUCUGCCAAUGUCCAGCCUUCAGUGCGUCAGAUCUGUUGGACUACAGAACCAGAGGUGGAAAAUGAAACUUAAAAAACGGUGGCAGAAAUAUAUCUGAAACAAGAAGAAGAAGAAGCGGAAGAAGAAGAAGAAGUGUUCAAAGAACAAAAAGAAAGAAAAAACAUCAAAUGUGUGAGGUUUGGGUUUAGC
ensembl:lncRNA